GCCUGGGUGGCUCAGUCGGUUAAGCGUCUGACUGCGGCUCAGGUCAUGAUCUCACGGUCCGUGAGUUCGAGCCCCGCGUCGGGCU
rnacentral:tRNA from 1 species